AUGCGUGCUAUAAGAAAAUUUGUGAUACUGUCUAACCUUUGCGAUGGAACUAUGAUAGUUGAAAUCAGUUACCUCCUAUUAAUUUUGAGAAUUCCAUAUUCUAUGUUAUGCGCAAACUUUUGACAUCAUUUAAAUAUCAAACUUUGAAGUAUUAAUGCAUGUAUUUGUCCUGAUUUGCUGCCAUGUGUGUCUGGUUUAAGUGCAACCUGGUUUUUCAUUAAAAUAUUCUACUUACAGUGUCUUUUAUUAGAUAUUGGAUUUAACGUUUAACUGUGCUGAGUCGUAACCUAGUACGAAUCUUUAUCUUUUUGCAACACUACGAAAUUAAUGAGCUGAUCCUAUGUCCGUAUUAGUCCUCAAAACCUUACUGCAGUAGGUUCGACGUCUCUACUUACUUGAUGUCAUUGGAGAAUAUUAACAUGCUUAAGAACAUUCAAUAAUUUGCAAAUGAGGGAUAAAAUGAAUUCCCUUGUACAGGUACUUAUUUCCUUGUUUGUCUAAUUUGCUGCAGCAUCAGUGUACUUGUUUUGAAGUCGACUGGAUGGUUUUGGAGAUGUGUAAUACGAUCUAAAAUUUUUUCAAUGUUCUUAUUUGAUCGAUAGCAGAUCACGUCAUGAGAGUCGGGCUUUUAUUGACCCAUUUUAGAGUGGAAAUUGUGAUAAGCAGUUGCACAAAUUUUUGAGAUUAAUAGAAGCACAUAUCCAGUUUGAGCUUACAGAAGUAAUACAAGCUCGAGAUCUGUCAUUCAGCUGAGUUAUGCAUACAUUGUUAAUUGUUAAGGAGAAGUAAAUCAUGAUACAUUUGAAUUCCAAAAUUAGUCUUUAGAGUUUGUUUAUAUUAUGGGGUUUCGUCGUCAGGGACUUCGUGUUGUAUUAUACUAUACAAGCUUUUGUCGUUUUGUAUUCAUGGUAAGCUUAUAAGUUCAAAGACACAAUGGAUUUAAAGAAUGGCGCUUUCUAUAUUGUGUUUUUUUAUCUGGAGAUUCGAAGAUGAUGGAAUUAGAAACAUUGCUGCUGUCACUGACAAGUGCUGGGUGAUUCCCAUUAGCGCCUUGCUGCAUGUAGUUAUCCAGUACAUGUGUGUUGGUGGGAGGUGGCUAGUGCUGGUGGAAUAAUUGUUGUGUGUCCAAGUUGAUCCAAAUAUCACGAGUAUCCAAAAAUUAAUAGAUCAGAGCUGUCCCCUGUGGUAUUUUUCACUCUUUGAGGGUGUUUUAUGUUGGAACAUGCAGGUUGCCAGGUGCAUCGCCUCUUCCCCCAACAGCCUAUCCUGGGCAACUCCGUACGAGUCAGUGCAGACGACUAAGAGGGUGUUUGGAUUGGCUUUUUAAAAAAAGUAGCUUAUAAGCUAAAAGCCAUAAGUUGGGAAUACCCAACUUCUGGAUUUUAACUUUUUUUUUUUUUUUUUAAAACCUUUUUGGCCUAAAAGUAAGUGCUUAAAAACACUUAUAAUUUUUUCCAAACACCACAAAAUAUAGAAAAGAGCUUAAAAGCCAAAAAAACAUCUAAAAUAAACCAAUCCAAACACCACUAAAUGAGCUACCUCCUUACCUCUUUCCCAAUAAAAUGCCAAGCUGAGUUAACUUCAAACUUGAGAUCUAAGUUUAUUGGUGUUCCAACUCAUAUUAUGCUGCAUCAGUUUUUUUUUUUUUUUAAAUCUAAGAUAAACUCAUUCAUGUUUUAGAUUUCUUAGAUGGAUGCUACACUAUGGGCAAUACUCAUAUUCGUCUUGUAAUAACCCAGAGAUUCUUUUCUCAUAUAUAAUUAAAAAAACUUUGUCGUUCAGUCAUAUACAUCUCUUUGUGGCGUUCACAGUGAAAUCAUUGUAUCAGCUAUGAAUUACAUAUUUAUCUUGUUUGAGAUGAGAGAAGAUUGCUCAAUGAUUGGGAGAUUCAGAGGGUGACAGAGUUUUAUAAGGCAUUGGAACUCUUCAGUGGCCUACAAGAGGGGUCUGAUAAAUUAUGUUGGUUGGAACAUAGCCGUGACUCUUUUAGGGUGGGUAGUACCUACAAGUUACUUAAUCAGACCAACGAGUAGGUUAUGAACUGGCCACUGAAGCACAUUUGGAAGAUUAAAAUCCCAUAUAAAGUUUCUUGUUUUGUUCGGCUUCUUGCCAGAGAGGCUGUUCUUGCUAAAGAGAAUCUGGCUAAAAGGAACAUCACUUUAAGCUCCAGUAGUUGCUUUCUCUGUGGUGAGGAAGAGGAGACAGUUAAUCAUCUAUUUCUACAUUGCAAAAUUACAGAAGAACUAUGGAGAAUGUUCAUCAACCUUAGAGGAAUAUCUUGGAUAAUGCUUGGAAGGAUUAUUGAUGUUCUUCACAGUUGGGAGGAAGCAGGUUCUCAGGCAAUAGACAGGGAUAGAUGGAGAACUGUCCCGGCAAGCAUUUGGUCGACAAUUUGGACAGAAAGAAAUUCCAGAUGUUUUGAUGAUGUGGAGAACUCUUUGUAGAAGAUAAAGUUGAAUUGUCUUAUGCUUUUAUGUUUUUGGUGUAAACAGACCCAUUCAGAAGAAUCUAUUGAUAUAAUGGAUGUUAUGAGUAGCAUUUAGGAUGGAUGUUUAGUUUUGUAUACCUGAAGCACUUUUGUAAAAUAUGGUUUCAGUACAACCUAUGUAUUGUUUUGUCUAUUAAUACACACAAGUUACCACUUUCAAAAAAAAAAAAAAAAAAAGAGAUGAGAGAAACCUCUCUAAUUACGACAUGUUAGCUUUAGUAUAAAAGGAUUAAGUUGAGGCUCUCCCUUGUACCUUCCACUUUCUCCUAAUUUUCCAUAUCCAAGGCUUUAAUAGACAAUGAAUAAGCAGGAUGAGAGAGGUUUCCUUAACCUUUACAAGGUCUGGAUAUUGCUGGGCUGCAACUGCGGGCAAGUCAUCAUUACUUGGUGGCAGACACUUGUGGUAGUAAGGUUAAAACCUAUCUUUCAUGCCAUGCCAUCUAUUAUCCUGUGUGUGUGUGGAAGAGAAGGAAUGCUAUCACGUAUGAAGGCACAAACUUAUAUAUCAAGUUACAAACACAGUUCAGAUGCUGAUUAGCGCGAGGAAACCUUCAUUACAAACUGUACCAACUACUUGGAGUGAAAUGCUAAAGCUGCCGGAAAACUGCUAUGGUAUAAGUGCAACAAUGAUGAUGCUAAUAGUGGUAAUCCUGGUCCAAGUUCCUUUGCUUUUUAUGCAUGCGAGAGUCUUGGUGAUCUAGUGUAUGCUGAGGCUAAGGAUUAUAGCUUGAGUCUGGCUAUUCUUGAAGCCUUGAGAUAUCGUGACAAUUUGCAUCUAUUCAAUCUUAUUAUGCUUAUUGACUCUUUAAUUUUGGUGAAAUGUGAUCGAGAAUAAAUGGAAACCAUCAUGGAAUGCAGCUGUGUGGGUGGAGGAGAUACAAGCUCUUAUAAGAUAUGCAAUGCAACAAGCUGGCUGAUCAUUUGCCGAUGGUGCUUUAUCAUGUAAUAAAUUUAGAGAGCUUGAUGUAGAGGGAAGGAGGAUACUCAACGGUGAUAAAUUGCAAUAUCCAUACCUUCGUGUUAGAGCCUA